CCUACGGGUGGCAGCAGUGGGGGAUAUUGCACAAUGGGGGAAACCCUGAUGUAGCGACGCCGCGUGAGGGAAGACGGUCCUCUGGAUUGUAAACCACUUUCCCCAGGGACGAAAAUGACGGUACCUGGGGGGGAAGCUCCGGCUAACUAGGUGCCAGCAGCCGCGGUAAUACGUAGGGAGCGAGCGUUGUCCGAAAUUACUGGGUGUAAAGGGAGCGUAGGCGGGGAUGCAAGUUGGGUGUCAAAACUACCGGCUCAACUGGUAGUCGCACUCAAAACUGCAGCUCUUGAGUGAAGUAGAGGCAGGCGGAAUUCCUAGUGUAGCGGUGAAAUGCGUAGAUAUUAGGAGGAACACCAGUGGCGAAGGCGGCCUGCUGGGCUUUUACUGACGCUGAGGCUCGAAAGUGUGGGGAGCAAACAGGAUUAGAUACCCCGGUAGUC
rnacentral:rRNA from 1 species